GAUUUUCAAAUUUUCAAAAAUCCCAAUUCAAUAGAAGGGACGGAACCCUCUUCACUGCUUCAUAUGAACCCUAAAACCUUUUUCCUCAAAUUCGGUGAACGGUUCACCACUUCACAAAGAUCACUCAAUCAAAGGUCACAUGAUUUUCUCAGGGUUUUCGUUCAACCGAAUCCCUUUUGUUUUUUUCCAAAAAACAUGUCGCUGAAUCCAUCGUCAAAUCAUCCACCUAUCGCUAUCUCCUUCUUCAAUUUCUCCAUGCCAACUAACGAUGGGUUCAACAACGACGAUGCCGAACAGCCGUUUCAGAUCUAAGGUGACAAAAGCUCCAGGUAUCAAAUACCAGAUGUUCUUCUCAGAUAUGGAUUUGAUUUUCUAUUUUGAUUUCUCAAACACCUUACCGAACAACAACGACAUCAUACAAUACUGAGUUACUUAUGCAUCUCUAAAGCUAUUUGGUUAUCAUUCAAAAUACUAGAUUUGUUGGUUCUUCAUAGGUAUAUUUUAUUUUAAUCAACAUAAUUUACUAUAUUAUGCAUGCCACUUAAAUUUGGUGACAACAAUUUGGUUAUAUUAUACUACUUAUAGUUAGCUAUGCCAUUGUUGAGGUCACAACUUUCUAUCUUGAAACUUUACUAUGGUAUUGCUCGAUUGAUAUGUCCUUUGAAUAAAUGUUGUUGAAUGUUUAUAGUUUACCUGGUGGCUUAUCAUAUUGUGCUUUCUUCAUUAAUUAAUCCAUCCCUUUUUCAUUAUCCCUGCAUAUUCCCUCUCAAAGAAAAGAAACCCUAACUCUGUCUCUUUGUGUGAAUCUUGUCUCUUUGAAUCCCAUUAUUGACGCAACCCGCCAACAAAGCUGACCAACAACUCCCAUUCGUUGAGGAAACAACCUUCAAGAAGAAACCUCUUCCGCAUGUUUCCUCAUUUCCAUUGAAUUGGAUACAUUUAUUCUGGUAUCAAAGAAGAACACUAAGAUAUGAGAGCAUAGUCACUCUUGCUGCCUAGAAUCGGCAAGUCUGUUGUAACAUUCAUAGGUAAGAACAAAUUUCAUGUCAAUGCCUUACAAAGUUCAAACAAUAGAGGACUUUGCAAAACAAGUAGAGGCAGGGAAUCUGAAACUCCGAGUUCGAGUACUAGCGUCUAAAAAGAGCUACUCGGAAAGUGACAGUGUUACAAAUGGCUACUAGAGCUGCUCGGAAAGGGACAGUUUAAAAUAGCAAGGAUGGUUCUUUGUUUUUUAUGAAGGGGUUAUCGGAAGAGUAGAAAGGGUGGUUUGUCAGCAUGGGAGCAGGCAGGAGCUCAAGAGUGGUUAGAAGUAAGUGUUGUAUUAGUAUGUCCUCAUUCACUGAUGAUGGGGACAAAGGUUUUUUAGUUAUUGAUCUUGAUAUGCUUUCAUUUCAGUUUUAGUUUCUAUAUUGCUCUUUGGUUCCAUCAUAGUUGAAGCUUGAAUCUAAGAGAAUUUAUUGUUGUCAUUUCACCUAUGUUCAUUAUUGUGCCUCAAUGACUUGCAAUUACAUGAUUUUCUUAUUAGUUAUGGAUUGUAAUGUAUGAAUGAUAGUGGAGGUUCUAUCUUUA